rnacentral:rRNA from 1 species
CCUACGGGAGGCAGCAGUGAGGAAUAUUGGUCAAUGGACGCGAGACUGAACCAGCCAAGCCGCGUGCGGGAUGAAGGUCCAGAGUAUUGUAAACCUCUUUUGUCAGGGAAUAAAGUCGGGGACGUGUCGCCUGUUGCGUGUACCUGAUGAAAAAGCACCGGCUAAUUCCGUGCCAGCAGCCGCGGUAAUACGGAGGGUGCGAGCGUUAUCCGGAUUUAUUGGGUUUAAAGGGUGCGUAGGCGGGACCUUAAGUUAGCGGGACAAUUCCGGGGCUAAACGCCGUAGAGCCGUUGAAACUGGGGUUCUUGAGUGGGCGAGAGGUAUGCGGAAUGCGUGGUGUAGCGGUGAAAUGCAUAGAUAUCACGCAGAACCCCGAUUGCGAAGGCAGCAUACCGGCGCUUAACUGACGCUGAGGCACGAAAGUGCGGGUAUCGAACAGGAUUAGAUACCCGAGUAGUC